rnacentral:lncRNA from 1 species
CUUAGAUCCUCAGGUGAGAAUUGGGAGACAGAUGCGCAAGGAUUAAUUGGUAGGAGUUUGACAAAAGCAAGGAGAACAGUUUGAUAAACACUUAGUUUAAUUUGAGAAGUACAGAUAGAAAAUAGAAAGGAGGAAUGAGAGAUUAUUACUCUAAUACCUUAUGACUAUACCUAAAUUCCUAAUCCUAACUAAAAUUUCUAAAAAUUCCUACAUUGUCUUCGAGGACAGGUUCUUCUGCCUGGGUAGACCAGGCCUAAACUAUUUACUCUACCUAGGAAUUUAUUCACUAAUGACCUACCUGUACUAAUAAAUAAACAUACAUCACCUAUGAACUCCUUAAAUCCAUUUUUCUGUAUCCCAACUGUUAGUAGUUAAAACUGCCAGAGCCUAAGAGACAGAGAACCAGCUCCCUCAAGGUCCAGAGACCAAAAGUCCCUCAACUGCCAACUAAAUCCUUUCUUAUGUAUCUUGUCUCCUAGGUAACAGAAUCUUCAUCUCUGGCUAACUCUCCCAGAAGCCUGUCAGUUCUUUUCUACUUAGAAAUCCUUCUGCUCACUUUCCUAACUCUUAAAGAGAUAGAGGGAGAGAUUAAGAAAAUCUCUUUAACAUAUGGACAUCAAAGGAAGAAAGUAACCCUGAAAAAGUCUCAAUAAACCCUCAUACUAGAGGGCUCCUGAUCAUCUCAUACACCCUAAGGGUGAAUACAUAGGGAAUAUAUACACCCUGGACACACAGUCCCAGGCCCUCUGUGAGAUGCUAUCUUGCUGGAUUUCUACUCUUUAGUGUCUGACUCAGCUGAAAUCUUUUUCAAUAGAAGACUCCAGCAUCACCUUCUGCAGAAAGUCUUCCCACUUUCCCCUUGGGCUAGAGUCUCCCCCUCAAAGACUUUCCUCAAACUACUCCAUAGACAUCUUGGAUGGAUCUGUUUCUCUCCUAUCAGAAGUACCAUCUACUGUUGUGUACUACCUGUUGAGAGCAUUUAGAGCAUUGAUUCUGCCAUCUUUCAUUUCAAUCAUCUCUCCCAGCCAGCCAGCAAAAGCCUUCAGCCUUGAUCACCACCAUCAGCCAAAAGUCAAAAGCCCUUCAGCCCAGUCCAGCUGUUGGCUUGGCUCCAAACUGCUUUUCCUGUUCACAUUCCAAAUGGAAUCUUCAUUUGACUGACAGAUGAUCCAUCCUCAGCUUUCUGUCCUUUGCAUGCAUUGUAAAUUCUCUCUUCCACAUUGCCUAGAAAACUCCCACUGAGGUAACAAAGAGUGACCAACUCAGUGACUAAAUUGAAACAACUAAACAAUAAUGAUAUACUUAGAUGUUUCACAGUGUUUUAUGUGUAUUAACCACAUUUACUAAACUUGAUUACAAGUACCUUGAGAGAAAAGACAUCUGACACUUCUGUAAAUAGUGUAUAGUGCUGAGAUCAAGUCAGUGUUGAGUACAUUCGUGGUGACUGAUCAACUGAUUGAAUCUGAGUUUUCAGGUGUCUAGAUCAUGUCUAAUGUCUAUCAAUCCAGAUUUCAAAAUCUAGAUUCUUUCUGUGGAC